rnacentral:rRNA from 1 species
GUCGAACGAACUCUGGUAUUGAUUGGUGCUUGCAUCAUGAUUUACAUUUGAGUGAGUGGCGAACUGGUGAGUAACACGUGGGAAACCUGCCCAGAAGCGGGGGAUAACACCUGGAAACAGAUGCUAAUACCGCAUAACAACUUGGACCGCAUGGUCCGAGUUUGAAAGAUGGCUUCGGCUAUCACUUUUGGAUGGUCCCGCGGCGUAUUAGCUAGAUGGUGGGGUAACGGCUCACCAUGGCAAUGAUACGUAGCCGACCUGAGAGGGUAAUCGGCCACAUUGGGACUGAGACACGGCCCAAACUCCUACGGGAGGCAGCAGUAGGGAAUCUUCCACAAUGGACGAAAGUCUGAUGGAGCAACGCCGCGUGAGUGAAGAAGGGUUUCGGCUCGUAAAACUCUGUUGUUAAAGAAGAACAUAUCUGAGAGUAACUGUUCAGGUAUUGACGGUAUUUAACCAGAAAGACACGGCUAACUACGUGCCAGCAGCCGCGGUAAUACGUAGGUGGCAAGCGUUGUCCGGAUUUAUUGGGCGUAAAGCGAGCGCAGGCGGUUUUUUAAGUCUGAUGUGAAAGCCUUCGGCUCAACCGAAGAAGUGCAUCGGAAACUGGGAAACUUGAGUGCAGAAGAGGACAGUGGAACUCCAUGUGUAGCGGUGAAAUGCGUAGAUAUAUGGAAGAACACCAGUGGCGAAGGCGGCUGUCUGGUCUGUAACUGACGCUGAGGCUCGAAAGUAUGGGUAGCAAACAGGAUUAGAUACCCUGGUAGUCCAUACCGUAAACGAUGAAUGCUAAGUGUUGGAGGGUUUCCGCCCUUCAGUGCUGCAGCUAACGCAUUAAGCAUUCCGCCUGGGGAGUACGGCCGCAAGGCUGAAACUCAAAGGAAUUGACGGGGGCCCGCACAAGCGGUGGAGCAUGUGGUUUAAUUCGAAGCUACGCGAAGAACCUUACCAGGUCUUGACAUACUAUGCAAAUCUAAGAGAUUAGACGUUCCCUUCGGGGACAUGGAUACAGGUGGUGCAUGGUUGUCGUCAGCUCGUGUCGUGAGAUGUUGGGUUAAGUCCCGCAACGAGCGCAACCCUUAUUAUCAGUUGCCAGCAUUAAGUUGGGCACUCUGGUGAGACUGCCGGUGACAAACCGGAGGAAGGUGGGGAUGACGUCAAAUCAUCAUGCCCCUUAUGACCUGGGCUACACACGUGCUACAAUGGAUGGUACAACGAGUUGCGAACUCGCGAGAGUAAGCUAAUCUCUUAAAGCCAUUCUCAGUUCGGAUUGUAGGCUGCAACUCGCCUACAUGAAGUCGGAAUCGCUAGUAAUCGCGGAUCAGCAUGCCGCGGUGAAUACGUUCCCGGGCCUUGUACACACCGCCCGUCACACCAUGAGAGUUUGUAACACCCAAAGUCGGUGGGGUAACCUUUUAGGAACCAGCCGCCUAAGGGUG